rnacentral:rRNA from 1 species
GACGAAGGAUGCAAGCGUUAUCCGGAAUUAUUGGGCGUAAAGCGUCCGCAGGUGGCUAAUCAAGUCCGCAGUCAAAGACUGGAGCUAAACUCCAGGAAGGCAGUGGAAACUGAGAAGCUAGAGUACGGUAGGGGUAGAGGGAAUUCCCAGUGUAGCGGUGAAAUGCGUAGAUAUUGGGAAGAACACCAGUGGCGAAGGCGCUCUACUGGGCCGAAACUGACACUCAGGGACGAAAGCUAGGGGAGCGAAAGGG